CCUGGCUCAGGACGAACGCUGGCGGCGUGCCUAAUACAUGCAAGUCGAACGAACCGCGACUGAGUGCUUGCACUUGGUCAAGGUGAGUGGCGAACGGGUGAGUAACACGUGGGUAACCUACCUCAUAGUGGGGGAUAACAGUCGGAAACGACUGCUAAUACCGCAUAGGACAUAGGAUCACAUGAUCCAGUGAGGAAAGGUGGCGCAAGCUAUCGCUAAGAGAUGGACCCGCGGUGCAUUAGCUAGUUGGUAGGGUAAAGGCCUACCAAGGCGAUGAUGCAUAGCCGACCUGGGGGGGGGGGGGGGCGCAUUGGGACUGAGACACGGCCCAAACUCCUACGG
rnacentral:rRNA from 1 species